rnacentral:rRNA from 1 species
UACGUAGGGUGCGAGCGUUGUCCGGAAUUAUUGGGCGUAAAGAGCUCGUAGGCGGCUUGUCGCGUCGGAUGUGAAAGCCCGGGGCUUAACUCCGGGUCUGCAUUCGAUACGGGCAGGCUAGAGUUCGGUAGGGGAGACUGGAAUUCCUGGUGUAGCGGUGAAAUGCGCAGAUAUCAGGAGGAACACCGGUGGCGAAGGCGGGUCUCUGGGCCGAUAUUGACGCUGAGGAGCGAAAGCGUGGGGAGCAAACAGG